rnacentral:lncRNA from 1 species
CAGCAGAGUUGUUUGCCAAAGAGUGACUAUCAAGGCCUUGACUAAUGUUCUAAGGAGGGCACAAUGUUCCACUCCCAAAACAAUGUAACCCAGUGGUUUUCAGCAAGGAAACUGAUAAAUUUCCCAAAGGAAUUCCUUACUGUCAGUAAGACCUCUGAAAAUUCACUAGUGAGAAUAAAUGCCACGAAAUCUAACAUUAGUAUUCUGAACUGAAUUUGCUUAUGCCAGACCUCUAAACAAUAAAUUGUGUUCUGCUGUGUUGCUAUGCCCGUUCAUGAGGCAAGCCAUUUUAAAGUAAAGCAUCUUGGAGAUUCCAUAAGAGCAGAAUGUGGAAGGGGUGUACUGCUUUAGGCUAGGGGAAAACAGCAAAAAAAAAAAAAAAAUAGUGGAUGAAGUAUAUUCUUAGGGGAGACUUGGAGAGCAAACUACAGGAAGUGCUGAGGAAGGAAGAAGGACACCGUGGAUCAUGGUGGAAGGCCCACGUGGACGCAAAGCAGCAAGCACAGACACAGCACAUGACCCCAGGAGCCGAGAGCGGGAGACUGCACCAGCUUUGGAGAGUGAGCUGUCGGACACAUUGCUGGGGAAAGCCAGACAUGAGCCUCCUUCAGCACCGGACACAGCCUAGGAUCCUGCUGGGCUCAGGACCUCCCCUCCCAUCUCUAGUCCCACGAGGAAUGUUUGUUCCCGUUCUCUGCUGGGGGAGUUUUUUCAUGGCGGGGCCUCAUCCUCGACGAAGCUGUGGGACUCAGAGCCAGGCUCUGUGUGGCCCGACGAUCCUGCUGACCCCGGCCUCCUGUAGACCAUGGGCCGCCAUACCCCUGGCCGCAUUUCCAGCUUUUCAAGUGGGAAGAAACCACCCUGCGUCCCAGGACUUGCACUUCUGUGGGCCAUCCUCAGCAAGACAUUUUCAUGGAUAUGAAACUGGACACCGAGUUGACGCUGAAGUUCAGCUGCUGGGUAAUCUUCCAUUUCUGGAGCUUGCUCAGCUUCCUUGUAAAACCCAGCUGUGCCUUCACCCUGGACAGGAGCAUCUGGUUAGUACAUGUGGCUGCGUCCUGUUGAUGGCAACCCUUGGGCCCAAGGAGGAGGGAAGGGAAGGGGAGGGGAGGCGAGGCGAGGUGAGGCAAGGCUAGGCGAGGUGAGGCGAGCCAACCCUAUGCCCUGGGGUUGGGCUGCCAGGCUGACAGCGAAGUGGACUUCCAGACUUUGUGAAGGAAGGUCAAGUGGUGGGAGCCCUAUAUACAUGAGGAGGCAGAAAUGUGGGGACAGAGCGUUCAUAGAAUAGAGGAACCACAGAGAGAGAGUUGAAUAAGAUAUUGGGGAAUGAAUUCCCUGGGGCAUUGCCAAGAAUUAAGGCCCAAAGAACAUUUUAAGAAGGGAAUACUGGUUGUCCAGGCUGUGGGAGGGGAAACUGGGAGGAAAACUGCCAUGUGUUGACUCAGAGAACAAAACAUGAGUCUGGUUUGGAGAGACGUGGUAAUAGUUGUUUGGGUUUUAGAUUUUCAGGCUAAGGACAAUGGGAUUGCAAGUACUUCAUGCAGUGGGAGUGGAGGGUUAGAUGCCAUGGAAGAACCUGGGGCGUGCAAGAUUUUGGGAGCUGAAAGCAGUGUGUGUCUGUAUGUCACCAUCCUAUGAUAGAAAAGCAAAAUGGAAGGAUUGUGAGGAGGAAAGCAGGCGACUUUGAGGAGAGUUGUAAUAGGGAGGAGCUGUCAUAGGUCUGCUUGUAAGAACUAGUAGAAUAUCAGAGUGUGAGAUCUGGGACAGGCCCUGGGGAGAAAGGAAGAGUGAGGGAAGGGAUAUCAGGAGGCAGGCAGAGGGAACAUUCAGGAGGGACUGGGGAAUGGGAGCUGAGUUAAUCAGGAAAUUUGACCAAAGUGUGCAGACUACCAAGAGAUGGAGAAGAAGUUAUUUGAAAGAAAAUGGGUUCAUAGGGGGCUUGGGAACAGGGAGAACCUGACUUAGCCUAUGAAUGAAGUUUGUGGCUUGUGGAAGUCAGAAUAUGGGCAGAGGAGUUUCUCUUGGUAAAUAUAUUUUUCUUGGCUUUCAAAGGAGUGUCUGCUAUGUGCCCACAUUUGUUCUAGUUAUUUAAGGUACUGCAGAGAGCAUCAUGAGGGUCCAUGAAAAAGUCUGUGGAAAGAGGGAUUUGUAAGGUUGUUUCAUUGUGUGUGUGUGUGUGUGUGUGUGUGUGUGUACAGAGAGAGAGAUAGAGAAUUAUUCUUAUCCAUUCAACUGAUGAUGUUUGAAUUCCUGGGCAAUUUCUUGUUUCCCUGCCGUGAAGAAUACUGCAAUAAAUACUGUGGUGAACGUAUCUCUCUGAUACA